ensembl:lncRNA
AUUAAUUACAGUCUGGGUUGAAGGAAUUGUGUGCCUAAGACAAAAUUAAAAAAAAAAGAGAGAGAGAGAGAGAGAAACCAAAUAACAGCAAUGGGAUUAUAAACCCUUUCAUCAUCUCUAUAUGGUAUAACUCUCUAUUUAUUAUGGCAGUUAUUUCUAUAACAUGAGAGGUAACAAUGGCAAGGAAAGGAGGUGAAUCUCCCCUCAGAAAGUGCUGAUUCUGCAACAAAAAGCCUUACUGAGAGUGGAAUUACACAAACAAAAUAACCUCCAGUGGACUAGGAACUGUAAAAGAAAACAUUUGCUUUAUUAGCAGUGCUGUGUGAUGCAACACUCCAAGGCUAAUCAUAGAAUCAUAGGAUAUUUUGAGUUGGAAGGGACCUAUAUAAUGGUAGGCACUCACUGAUAAUACAGAUUCACAGAAUUUUUCAGUUUAACUUUUUGCAAACAUUAUGCAUGUGCCAAGAGUUGAAUUGAUCCCAGCUUUGUGCAGAAGAGCCCAACCAAAAUGUGGGAAAGGUUGAGCAAUCAUUUGCUAUGAAGACAAAACAGUAAAAGACAAUGGAAAGACCCAGGUAGGCUGCAGGAUCAUUCCAGCAUUUCUAAUUCACUGGCAAAGUGUCCUGGCAUGGUGAGUUCUCUGGUAUGUAAAAGGAGUGGAAUAAAGCAUUUAGUAAUGGAGGUUAAAAUGUCUUUUGGAGGAGGGAUGAUUAGUGGGGUGUUUGCCCCCUGCUUUUGUUUUCUUUAUCUUUUUUACUUUUUUUUUUCAUAUUAUUUUAUUUUACAUUGUGACCAGCAAAAACUACAAAAGGAAUAGGAAAGAAAAAUUGAAAACACAACACUGCAAAAUUGGUGAUGCAUAUAAAUGUAUACAUACACAUUAUAUGUAUAUGCAUACUAUACAUGUAUAUACAUAUAAAUAUGCACACACAUAUAUAUGCAUAUAUAUAUAAUUACUCAAUUUAUCCUUAACUUUAUGCUCAAGGAGAAAAAUUUGGCGAACAGAAGUCUUAACAAAAUGGAGGAUGGUGUGAAAAAUGUGUCUGAUCUUUUGAUCCUUUCUCGUCACUUUAACUGAGACCCAGCAAUGAUGAUGAGCUGAAGCAUAAAUUGUGAUUCCGAUUUCAGUCUUGCCCACUGGGAAUCUUUAUCUUCGUGUCCACCACUGGCUUAGUAGCACGUCCAAAGAUGAUACGGCAUCCACUUGUUUAAUCUAAAAUGGUAUGGUAGAUUAUAUGAUGAACUGAAGACCGAGUCACUAUUCCCAAAUGAACAGGAUCAGAAGUUGUUUGCUGUGGGUCCUAAUGCCUCUGUUUCACUAAGAGUGAAAGUUGUGGUCUAUGGUAUGAGGUUACAUUUUCACUGAGGGAAGCUUUUAAUUCAAGUCUUCUUUUUGACGAGCAAAAUCGAGGUUUGAUUUGAGUUCUUUGGUGAUCACCAACUGAAUAUAAAUAUUUUUUUGCAGUUGGUGACAGUAUGGAAACAUCUAUAUUUAAUCAAGAUGUGGAGAGGUGGAAAUUAGCAUGGAGAGAAUGUAUAUGUAAGAUAAAGCCUGGACACAUUACUCAUUCUUCUCCUCUCCUUUUACCUUCAAGAGGUGACACUGCAGAAUAGCUUUAUCAAAGUCAGUGAUUAACUGGUGCUUUGUCUGCAUGUGUGGUGGUGGAAGCACUGGAUCACUGCUCUCUGUGGCGCUUGGUGAAGGUGCAAAGCCAAGACCUAAUUUUCAUCAGAACUCCAUGCUGCUAAUUAUUACUCAUUAAUUGUCUAUUCUAAUCUUGUUCUUCCUCGCAUGUAGCUAAUAGAGACAGAUAUGCUCUCCAGAGGGUACUUCACUUCACUUUCCAUACGCAGCCAUUGCAGGAUGGGCUGAAUCACCCUCUGGAAGUGGUUGUCUCUCUGUGGGGGUUACAUGAAUAGCUGAGAUGAGAUGCUGGCUUCUCGUCUUGUCAAGGAGGCAUUUCAGCUGAAUCUGGUUGUGAUCUUCCUAGAGAAUCAUAGAGUCAUAGAAUGGCCUGGUUUGAAAAGGACCAAACCCCCCUGCUAUGUGCAGGGUCGCCAAACACCAGACCAGGCUGCCCAGAGCCACAUCCAGCCUGGCAAAGCCACAUUCAGCCUGGCAUCCCUAGAGCAUGUGGGCUCCUCACUGAGCAGCUCCUAACCCAUUGUAAGAACAAUUUUUGAUGGGAUAAAGGGCUAUGGAGUGCACAAAUACAGUACGAGUAAGUGUUAACUAUGAGGUCAGUCAGUGUCCUCAGUCUGCAGGUCCAAGAUCUGCCCACAGCACAUGUGUUCAAUGAGGCUAAAAGUCUAUCCGGUGGAGAAAAUUGUAAUGAUUCUAAAGAAAAUGUAUUUGUAAUUAAAGGAAAAUUAUCUUGUUAUAUUCUUUUUUUAAAUUCAAGAUUUUCCUUCAAAGGGAAGUAGUAGGCUCCCACUAGCCCUAUCACUGUUUUUCCAUCCCAUCUUGAAGGGGAAGCUGUGCUCUGGUCCAUGAAUCGGGGACAGAAUGCAUGAAACAGAGAAGAGUUAAGUAACACACCAAAGCUUGCAGCAAGAACAAGUGGGAAAAAAAAAAAUCAUUAAAAGCACCAAUUUCCCUUGGCUAUCUGUCCUCAGACAAAUUCUCUACACUAUUUUUGUUAUCUAAGUCUGUUUUGGAGAGGAAAACUGUCCUCGGCUCAAGUCUGCAUCCUACCACCAAUUCCCCUCUGCAACCUUAGGCCACUCAUUUAAAGUCUCUGCCCCUCAGCUCCUCGUGAGCAAAAUGAGAAUGCUAAUACUUCUCCAUACCACAGUCCACUCUUCCCACUUGGGCUGCAGGGUCCUCUGCACUGAUGCUGUUGCUAAAUAAUUAUUUGCCAAGCACGGUUGAAUCCUGGCAUCCCAAUUGCCACUGGAACCAUCCUUGAAAUGAAAUAGUAAGAAUAGUGAUUUUAAUCAUAAUAGAAAUACAGAAAUAGAAAUAAUAAACAUACCUACACUGGUUUUACUUGCAAGGUGCUGUGGGUCAAAGGAGGAAAAAGUGCAGUCUGUGCAGCAGAGCUGUCAUGUCACACAAAGUGUCAGCUUCCCUAAUAUCACCAAUCCCUCCUCCGCCUCACCAACUUAAAUUCUCCCGUGCCUCAAGGUAGGUGGCUGUUGGGACUCAGUGCUCCAGAUACAUCCACACCGGAGAUCAGUCAUUUCACACUGCCAGUGGGCUUCUUUACUAUUCUAAUACAGAACCGAUUGCACACUAUGACUAAUAAUGUUGGGGGUAUGAAAGAAUUAUUUAUAUAGAGACUGAGAAAGGCCUCCUUGGAUUUCUAGACAGGACAGUCUUGAUUUGGAGAGAGCAAAGCAUAAAAUAACUUCAGGGCCAUUUCAGACUGCAGUCGGCUCCAGGAGAAGAACUGACAAUUGGUGUUUGAAUUUGGAGCUGCAGAUGUAUAGAGGUCUAUUAUUCUAUGAUUGGUUCUAUGAAUCUAAGAGAUGGUAAAUAAUGGGUGUAACAACAGCCAGCGGUGUCUCUUUCGGUCUGAUUUCAGAGACUAUCCAGGCCCAUGGUUCAUUCUCUGGAUGUCCGGGUUUAGAUUAAUUUUAAAAGAUAAAUGUGGUUAAUUUUCAGUUUAUGUUUGUGCUGAAAAUCAAGAAGCUUUGGCUACAAAGCCCUCUUCCAAAGCCAUUUCAUCAUAGAACCAUAGAAUGGUUUGAGUUGGAAGGGACCUUAGAGGCCAUCUGUCCCACUCCCUGCAGUGAACAGGGACACCCUCAGCUCCAUCAGUGCUCGGAGCCCAUCCAGCCUGACCUUGGCUGUCUGCAGGGAUGGGGAGAUGUGCUUAGUUUAGUUCCUUGUCAGGUCUAUGGAAUACCAACAGUAGUGGACCUACAUACUGUGAGGCAAAAGACAGUUAAUUAAAUCUACACAUGCAACUUUGAGUACCUUACACUUUUAAGUUUAUAAGUACUACGCAUUCUGCACUGAGUAUUUGCAAUGAGAACAUUGGAAAACCUGAGCUCAGGUAUAUGCUCACUUUUCAGAUGAUCUCUGACCCUUCUGUGAUUUAGUAGAUGAAUCAAAAAUUGAGGAGAGAAGGAAUUCAGAGGCUUAAUGCAAGUGAGUCUUUCCAAUCUAUACAUCGUAUAUGAUGCAUGUAAGUCUCAUUAACAUUGCUUAAUAAAAAGAUGUGUAUUACACCAAUUAUUACAGAUUAGAUUCCUAUUCUUGAAUUACACUUGCUGCAGAGCCUACGUUAAUGCUACUCUGAUCUUAACCACCAUGGAUGUUUUAGAGAGAACAGAAAACUAAGACUAUCCUUCAAAAGCACUGCACAUUCACUCCUCUCUGAGGAUCAGUGAGGUAAAUAUCCUUCAUCUUCAGGUUUAUUUAUUGGUUUAUAAUAUUCCUGGGUUGCAUAAUAGAGAGAUGUCUACCAGUGCUCUAGAGAAAGCACUGUUUCUCAUGAAUUUUAUACACAUAAUUUCCUUUGGGAAGUGCUAAGUAUGAUACCUUCUGAAGGACUCUGUGGAAAAUUCAUGUAAAUAAGGCAAAAUGGAUUCACUGCUCCAGCCUGCAGUCAUCUUGUGAACACCAAUUUUGAGCAAUGAAAGCUCUGAGGGCUCAAAAUGUGGACAUUUUCUAUACACACAAUAGGCCAUGGUACAUUACAAAGGCUUGCUGGUUCCCAUUUGUAAGAUGACAGAUCAAGAUAUUCACAACAAUCAUUUUUCCUUUAUGUCACCACAUAGAAGAAAUCCUUUGCACCUCGCAGUGCUUCAGUUCAUACCAACAUGACCCCCUACCCACAAAGACCUUCUAAUGCCACCAUCAUGCUGAAGAUUGCAUUCUGCACGCCCCCCUGAGCUUAUUCUUCAGUUCAGGGCUUUGUGCCAUUUGUUGUAUAAUUACACUGACUCUUCCAGUGAUGCUCCUUCAACUUGAGUCUCCAGAUAUAAAUAACGUUUUGCACCAUGGCUUUGAGUGAGUAGUGCAAGUGGACAUGAAGGGUAUCAGUUUGCUUAUAUGCACACAAAAAGCAGGCAGAAAAAACAAAAUAGCCAUCUUGGCUCUCAGAGAGUUAACCAUCAGUUCAGUCUUCCUUACUGUCAUACACAUUAC